rfam:Mesocricetus auratus contig197534, whole genome shotgun sequence.
GGAUCCAUGAUGAUACCAAGUCUCUGAGGACAGUGAUCGACUAAUAACUAUGCCAACCUAAGCUCC